rnacentral:tRNA from 1 species
UGCAUAGGCCGGGAAUCAAACCCGGGCCGCCCGCAUGGCAGGCGAGCAUUCUACCACUGAACCACCGAUUGUUAUGC